rnacentral:rRNA from 1 species
GUGGGGAAUAUUGGACAAUGGGGGGAACCCUGAUCCAGCCAUGCCGCGUGUGUGAAGAAGGCCUUUUGGUUGUAAAGCACUUUAAGCGAGGAGGAGGCUACCGAGAUUAAUACUCUUGGAUAGUGGACGUUACUCGCAGAAUAAGCACCGGCUAACUCUGUGCCAGCAGCCGCGGUAAUACAGAGGGUGCAAGCGUUAAUCGGAUUUACUGGGCGUAAAGCGCGCGUAGGUGGCCAAUUAAGUCAAAUGUGAAAUCCCCGAGCUUAACUUGGGAAUUGCAUUCGAUACUGGUUGGCUAGAGUAUGGGAGAGGAUGGUAGAAUUCCAGGUGUAGCGGUGAAAUGCGUUGAGAUCUGGAGGAAUACCGAUGGCGAAGGCAGCCAUCUGGCCUAAUACUGACACUGAGGUGCGAAAGCAUGGGGAGCAAACAGGAUUAGAAACCCUAGUAGUCC